rnacentral:rRNA from 1 species
CCUACGGGGGGCUGCAGUGGGGAAUAUUGCACAAUGGGCGCAAGCCUGAUGCAGCAACGCCGCGUGAGGGACGACGGCCUUCGGGUUGUAAACCUCUUUUAGUAGGGAAGAAGCGAAAGUGACGGUACCUGCAGAAAAAGCACCGGCUAACUACGUGCCAGCAGCCGCGGUAAUACGUAGGGUGCAAGCGUUAUCCGGAAUUAUUGGGCGUAAAGAGCUCGUAGGCGGUUUGUCGCGUCUGCUGUGAAAACUGGAGGCUCAACCUCCAGCCUGCA